rnacentral:rRNA from 1 species
AGUGAACGCUGGCGGUAGGCCUAACACAUGCAAGUCGAACGGCAGCACAGUAAGAGCUUGCUCUUACGGGUGGCGAGUGGCGGACGGGUGAGGAAUACAUCGGAAUCUACUUUUUCGUGGGGGAUAACGUAGGGAAACUUACGCUAAUAGCGCAUACGACCUACGGGUGAAAGCAGGGGAUCUUCGGACCUUGCGCGAUUGAAUGAGCCGAUGUCGGAUUAGCUAGUUGGCGGGGUAAAGGCCCACCAAGGCGACGAUCCGUAGCUGGUCUGAGAGGAUGAUCAGACACACUGGAACUGAGACACGGUCCAGACUCCUACGGGAGGCAGCAGUGGGGAAUAUUGGACAAAGGGCGCAAGCCUGAUCCAGCCAUACCGCGUGGGUGAAGAAGGCCUUCGGGUUGUAAAGCCCUUUUGUUGGGAAAGAAAAGCAGCAGGUUAAUACCCCGCUGUUCUGACGGUACCCAAAGAAUAAGCACCGGCUAACUUCGUG